rnacentral:rRNA from 1 species
GAUGAACGCUGGCGGCGUGCCUAAUACAUGCAAGUCGAUCGAACGGACGAGAAGCUUGCUUCUCUGAUGUUAGCGGCGGACUGGUGAGUAACACGUGGAUAACCUACCUAUAAUACUGGGAUAACUUCGGGAAACCGGAGCUAAUACCUGAUAAUAUUUUGAACCGCAUGGUUCAAAAGUGAAAGACGGUCUUGCUGUCACUUAUAGAUGGAUCCGCGCUGCAUUAGCUAGUUGGUAAGGUAACGGCUUACCAAGGCAACGAUGCAUAGCCGACCUGAGAGGGUGAUCGGCCACACUGGAACUGAGACACGGUCCAGACUCCUACGGGAGGCAGCAGUAGGGAAUCUUCCGCAAUGGGCGAAAGCCUGACGGAGCAACGCCGCGUGAGUGAUGAAGGUCUUCGGAUCGUAAAACUCUGUUAUUAGGGAAGAACAUAUGUGUAAGUAACUGUGCACAUCUUGACGGUACAUAAUCAGAAAGCCACGGCUAACUACGUG